UGGGGGGACCAUCCUCCAAGGCUAAAUACUCCUGACUGACCGAUAGUGAACCAGUACCGUGAGGGAAAGGCGAAAAGAACCCCGGCGAGGGGAGUGAAAAAGAACCUGAAACCGUGUACGUACAAGCAGUGGGAGCACGCUUAGGCGUGUGACUGCGUACCUUUUGUAUAAUGGGUCAGCGACUUAUAUUCUGUAGCAAGGUUAACCGAAUAGGGGAGCCGAAGGGAAACCGAGUCUUAACUGGGCGUUAAGUUGCAGGGUAUAGACCCGAAACCCGGUGAUCU
rnacentral:rRNA from 1 species